rnacentral:rRNA from 1 species
AUUGAACGCUGGCGGCAGGCCUAACACAUGCAAGUCGAGCGGAGCGGCGGACGGGUGAGUAAUACCUAGGAAUCUGCCUGGUAGUGGGGGAUAACGUACGGAAACGGGCGCUAAUACCGCAUACUAUCAGAUGAGCCUAGGUCGGAUUAGCGAGUGGGUGGGGUAAAGGCCUACCAAGGCGACGAUCCGUAACUGGUCUGAGAGGAUGAUCGGUCAAACGGGAACUGGGACACGGUCCGGACUCCUACGGGAGGCGGCAGUGGGGAAUAUUGGACAAUGGGCGAAAGCCUGAGCCAGCCAUGCCGCUGGUGUGAAGAAGGUCUUCGGAUUGUAAAGCACUUUAAGUUGGGAGGCGUUACCAACAGAAUAAGCACCGGCUAACUUCGUGCCAGCAGCCGCGGUAAUAC